rnacentral:tRNA from 1 species
GGGUCCUUAGCUCAGCCAGAGCAUUUGAUUGCAGAUCCAGAGGUCACCAAUUCGAACCUGGUAGGACCA